AAAGCCAUCCAUAUCGUGAACCAGCCGUACGUCUUCAAAAUAGUGUUCGCUCUCUUCAAGCCGUUCCUCAGAGAGAAACUGAGGAGCCGUCUCUACUUCCACGGCACUGACCGCAAAUCCCUGCAUCAACACGUCAGCCCGAAGUGCUUGCCCGAAAAUUACGGAGGCACCCUCGAUUUGCCCAGGAUCGACGGGAAGCAGUGGUUGGAACUGCUUGAGAAGUGCGACAAGGAAUAUGUCGCUAUCAAUUCCUUUGGAUACAACAAGAAGAGGGAGCUUUAGAGAAAAAAAAAGGGUCUUCCAUCGAACAUUCCCAAAUUAUUCGUAGUCAGAAACAUUGGAAACAUUAUUUAUUUUUGUAAUGAGUAGCGGUAUUUUAGUUGGAUGAGUAAGUUGGACGGCAGCAGUUUUGAUAUUUUGUUGGUUCGGAGAAAAUCGACGGAAGCUACUGCUUUGCCGCAAUAUUUCGUACAAGCCCGUGUACUUAUGAUAUAUUUUGUGAUACAACUACCAUCACUGUAUAAUACAUGCAUUUGUAAUGUACUUAUAUAUUUCAGAUGAAUUCAUUAUAAUUUUGUUUUAAAA